rnacentral:rRNA from 1 species
AUUGAACGCUGGCGGCAGGCCUAACACAUGCAAGUCGAACGGUAACAGGAAGAAGCUUGCUUCUUUGCUGACGAGUGGCGGACGGGUGAGUAAUGUCUGGGAAACUGCCUGAUGGAGGGGGAUAACUACUGGAAACGGUAGCUAAUACCGCAUAACGUCGCAAGACCGAAGAGGGGGACCUUCGGGCCUCUUGCCAUCGGAUGUGCCCAGAUGGGAUUAGCUAGUAGGUGGGGUAACGGCUCACCUAGGCGACGAUCCCUAGCUGGUCUGAGAGGAUGACCAGCCACACUGGAACUGAGACACGGUCCAGACUCCUACGGGAGGCAGCAGUGGGGAAUAUUGCACAAUGGGCGCAAGCCUGAUGCAGCCAUGCCGCGUGUAUGAAGAAGGCCUUCGGGUUGUAAAGUACUUUCAGCGGGGAGGAAGGGAGUAAAGUUAAUACCUUUGCUCAUUGACGUUACCCGCAGAAGAAGCACCGGCUAACUCCGUG